rnacentral:lncRNA from 1 species
AUUAUGUCUGUUAGUGUCACAAUUGACUAUACUCUCACUAUCUAAAAUCAAUUAUCAAACUACAAAAUACCAAGGCUUACUACUUUCGUCUAGAUUGAACACACAAUCCAUUCUACGACUAUCAAUUCAACAAUACUUCUCUCAAUCAUAAUUCUUCAUAAGUAAAUAAUAAAAGUAAAGAAAAUAAAGAGGUAGCACGAAGCUUACCCUAAUUUACAACUCUCACAGUCUAGCUCCAAUCUCUCUUUCUUCAAUCUCUUUAUUCUACCAAAAAGAUGAUUCGUCGGCCAGCGGAUUCUAAAGGUUAUGAUCCUUUGAAUUCUUAACUAUUUAUUCCACUAACAACCUACUAUUAUCAAUUAAACUGCCUAGUCAUCAGUCUAAUUC